rnacentral:rRNA from 1 species
CCUACGGGAGGCAGCAGUAGGGAAUCUUCCACAAUGGACGAAAGUCUGAUGGAGCAACGCCGCGUGAGCGAUGAAGGCCUUCGGGUCGUAAAGCUCUGUUGUUAGGGAAGAACAAGUACCGGAGUAACUGCCGGUACCUUGACGGUACCUAACCAGAAAGCCACGGCUAACUACGUGCCAGCAGCCGCGGUAAUACGUAGGUGGCAAGCGUUGUCCGGAAUUAUUGGGCGUAAAGCGCGCGCAGGCGGUCCUUUAAGUCUGAUGUGAAAGCCCACGGCUCAACCGUGGAGGGUCAUUGGAAACUGGGGGACUUGAGUACAGAAGAGGAAAGUGGAAUUCCACGUGUAGCGGUGAAAUGCGUAGAGAUGUGGAGGAACACCAGUGGCGAAGGCGACUUUCUGGUCUGUAACUGACGCUGAGGCGCGAAAGCGUGGGGAGCAAACAGGAUUAGAUACCCUGGUAGUCCACGCCGUAAACGAUGAGUGCUAAGUGUUAGAGGGUUUCCGCCCUUUAGUGCUGCAGCUAACGCAUUAAGCACUCCGCCUGGGGAGUACGGCCGCAAGGCUGAAACUCAAAGGAAUUGACGG